AUUGAACGCUGGCGGAAUGCUUUACACAUGCAAGUCGAACGGCAGCACGGACUUCGGUCUGGUGGCGAGUGGCGAACGGGUGAGUAAUGUAUCGGAACGUGCCCAGUCGUGGGGGAUAACGUAGUGAAAAUUACGCUAAUACCGCAUACGGUCUAUGGAUGAAAGCGGGGGAUCGCAAGACCUCGCGCGAUUGGAGUGGCCGAUAUCAGAUUAGGUAGUUGGUGGGGUAGAGGCCCACCAAGCCAACGAUCUGUAGCUGGUCUGAGAGGACGACCAGCCACACUGGAACUGAGACACGGUCCAGACUCCUACGGGAGGCAGCAGUGGGGAAUUUUGGACAAUGGGCGAAAGCCUGAUCCAGCCAUUCCGCGUGCAGGAUGAAGGCCCUCGGGUUGUAAACUGCUUUUGUACAGAACGAAAAGGUUUCUACUAAUACUAGGAGCUCAUGACGGUACUGUAAGAAUAAGCACCGGCUAACUACGUGCCAGCCGCCGCGGUAA
rnacentral:rRNA from 1 species